AUUGAACGCUGGCGGCAGGCCUAACACAUGCAAGUCGAACGAGUGGCGGACGGGUGAGUAAUGUCUGGGAAACUGCCUGAUGGAGGGGGAUGACUACUGGAAACGGUAGCUAAUACCGCAUACCAUCAGAUGUGCCCAGAUGGGAUUGGCUUGUUGGUGGGGUAACGGCGCACCAGGGCGACGCUCCCUAGCUGGUCUGAGAGGAUGACCAGCCACACUGUAACUGAGACACGGUCCAGACUCCUACGUGAGGCAGCAGUGGGGAAUAUUGGACAAUGGGCGCAAGCCUGACGGAGCCAUGCCGCGUGUAUGAAGAAGGUCUUCGGGUUGUAAAGUUCUUUCAGCGGGGAGGCGUUACCCGCAGAAGAAGCACCGGCUAACUCCGUGCCAGCAGCCGCGGUAAUUC
rnacentral:rRNA from 1 species